UAGCUCUGGUUUCUCUUCAGUCAUGCAUAAAUUUUUCCCCUUUUAUUAAAGAUUUACAUGGAUAGGAACAUCAAUGAGUUUGAUGUAUUUUUGUGAGCUUUGCUCUGGCAAGGCU